AGUCUUAAUAGGGCGAUUUAGUCGUUUGGCGUAGACGCGAAACCUGGUGAUCUAAACCUGUCCAGGAUGAAGCUGUGGUAAGACACAGUGGAGGUCCUAACCCACCGCCGUUGAAAAGUUGGGGGAUGAGGUAGGUUUAGGGGUGAAAAGCCAAUCGAACCAGGAGAUAGCUCGUUCUCUCCGAAAUGCAUCUAGGUGCAGCCUUGAGUGUUCAAUUAUGGGGGUAGAGCACUGAAUGAUCUAGGGGGCGUAUUGCUUACUGAAAUCAAUCAAACUCCGAAUACCAUAAUUUAGAGCUCAGGAGUGAGACUAUGGGAGUUAACUUCCAUUGUCGAAAGGGAAACAACCCAGACCACCAGCUAAGGUCCCUAAUUAUAACUAAGUGGGAAAGGAGGUGGAGAUUCACAAACAACUAGGAGGUUGGCUUAGAAGCAGCCAUACCUUUAAAGAGUGCGUAAUAGCUCACUAGUCGAGAGUCUCUGCGCCGACAAUGUAACGGGGCUAAGUUAUAAACCGAAGCUGUGGAAUCCGUAAGGAUUGGUAGGAGAGCGUUCUGUAGGCCGUUGAAGGAGAAGGGUAACGAUAGGAAAAUCCAUUGAGUUAUAUCUGAGGUAUGAUAUACAGUCGUAAGAUGAAUGCGCAAAUCCCACGCUGCCAAGAAAAGCUUCUAACGUUAAUAUUUGACUGCCCGUACUGCAAACCGACACAGGUGGUCAGGAUGAGAAAUCUAAGGCGGACAGGCUAACUCUCGUUAAGGAACUCUGCAAAAUAACCUCGUAACUUCGGGAGAAGAGGAGCCCUUGAGGGUCAGUAUCCACGCGAUACAAAGCGCUCGAGGGUCGCAGUGAAGAGGCUCAAGCAACUGUUUAACAAAAACACAGGUCUAUGCUAAGCUGGAAGGCGAUGUAUAUGGGCUGACACCUGCCCAGUGCUGGAAGGUUAAGAGGAGGAGUGAGAGCUCCGAAUUGAAGCCCCAGUGAACGGCGGCCGUAACUAUAACGGUCCUAAGGUAGCGAAAUUCCUUGUCGGGUAAGUUCCGACCUGCACGAAUGGUGUAAUGAUUUGAGCGCUGUCUAGGACAUAGUGAUCCGGCGAUUCCGAAUGGAAGGGUCGUCGCUCAACGGAUAAAAGCUACCCUGGGGAUAACAGGCUGAUCCUACCCGAGAGUCCAUAUCGACGGUAGGGUUUGGCACCUCGAUGUCGGCUCAUCGCAUCCUGGGGCUGGAGAAGGUCCCAAGGGUUGGGCUGUUCGCCCAUUAAAGCGGUACGUGAGCUGGGUUCAGAACGUCGUGAGACAGUUCGGUCCCUAUCCACUGUAGGCGUUAGAAUAUUGAGAAGACCUGUCCUUAGUACGAGAGGACCGGGAUGGACAAACCUCUGAUGUACCAGUUGUCACGCCAGUGGCACAGCUGGGUAGUCACGUUUGGAAUAGAUAACCGCUGAAAGCAUCUAAGCGGGAAACUAACUUCAAGAUAAGUAUUCUUUACAAGAGAGAAACUAGUGUUUCUCUCUCUUUUUUGUUUUUGAGCAAAAAUAUAUAUGUUAUUUCUCUAUUAUGUGAUAUAAUUAAAAGAAUGAAUAAAAAGGAAGUGAAUAAUGGAACAAUUAGAAAAAUUAAAAGAAUUUAAGGAAUUAGGGCUUGGUGAAAAGGUAUUAAAGGUAUUAUCAAAAAAGGGAUAUGAAUCUCCUACACCUAUACAAAGAUUAACAAUACCAGCACUGUUAAAAAAUGAUAAAGAUAUAAUAGGACAAGCACAGACUGGAACGGGUAAAACUGCUGCUUUUUCUUUACCUAUAAUAGAAAACUUUGAAACUUCAGAUC
rnacentral:rRNA from 1 species